GAAGAUUGUAUUUUUUUUUUUUUUUAUUUAAACCUCAUUACUUUUUUGUACUGGAAAAAAGGUAAGUACAUGAAUAGUACCGCUAUUUAUGUUUAUUUAUGAUUUAUGACAGAAAAAAUAAUCGUGUACAGUAAUAACUUAGGCGCGUGGGGAUGUGCUUAUGUGUAAGGUACAAAAACGUUCAACGAGAUAAAUGAUUUUAGAACAAAGAAUAGUUAAGGUUUUUGUGUAAAAGAAAAAGAAAAAAAAAGCCUAAUGAAAAUAUAACGUGAGACCAUCUGUAUACUUGAUUAGAAGUUAAGCGUGCAAACUUCAUACAAAACAAAACAGGUACAAUUAUCGUUGGGUUCAAUAUAUUAUUAUGUGUGUACGUUGUGGCAGCUUGACAUUGAGUCGCUAUUUAUGUGACUGCGAGCUAAUGGAGAAUAUUAGAACAUAAUUGCGUUGCAGAUAUGACAUGUUAAUUCAGACUGGUCGCGCACCACUUCCAAUAUGUACUUCGUUGCGAUCUGGAAGCUUUUCCGACUGUUGUUGGGGGUGAGGGGUCAUUACCAACAUAUAGGACAACAUAUAGGUUUCACAUUUACACAAUGAAUAGUAAUUAUGCGACCUUUAUAUAAAUUGCACUCGUGUCCAGCUGUCGGAAAACAUCAAAAAAGAUUUUCUUAUGGAAACAAAAACAGAUUAAAACAGGCAGCGAGUUUCGCACAGUGGGAAGACACUUUUGAUAUUUGGGCAACAGGUCGUGCGCAACGCCGCAAGACAUAUUUUCUUUUCAUGUCCCUCCCCGGCUCCGUGCUUCUUUUCCGAUACUGUGACUGUUUUCAAACUAUCAACAUUUCACUUAUAGGCUACUAAUCAUUAACAGGUAUAUAAUUAAAAUAUAUGUACUGUGAAUGAUACAAUAAUGUGUGUGGUUAUGCAGAGCACUACGUUCUUUUGUGGGUGUUUAUUUAGUAACUUUGUAUAACCCUUUGUAAAUAUUCACAGCAUUAUUUGAUUACAGAGGUCUGCCUCAUGACAGGUGAAAGAGAGCAGGUACACGGGGUUUUAACCCGCGCCCUGUCAUCAGUUCGCCAAGCGGAAUCUGAAUUGAGGUCUCAUACAACUGACGAUAUAGAUGAUUUUGAUGCAGCCUCUUUUGUCAGUGAAACAAGGGCCUUGUUUAGAAGUAGAUCUGUGGACUCAUCACAAAGGACAGGAAAGAGAGGCAGAAAAAAAGGACGGCAAAGGGGACAUUUAUGGAAGACUCAUUUUUUCUUACUGCAAAAGAACGAUGAAGAAUUUGUACCACCACCGUCUGAACUAUCAAGACUGACAAGAAAUGGAUUAGGAGUUCCUAAAUGUGAACAACCUGCUACCAAUGAAAGAUAUGGUUCAAAAUCUACUGUUCAGCGAAGCUGGAGUUUAAGACAGUUAGAGAAUUUUGUGCAAGAUAGUUUUCCUGACGUUCCUUUGAUUCUAACUGGCUUUACCUUUGCAAAGGCAGAGAAAGGUCGGCGUCUUAGUAAGCUAAACAUAACGUCUGCAGCUGACCUACAAACCAAGAUAGGAAAAGGAAAGAUUUUUAUAGUUCCUAAUCGUGAUAUACCAUUGCCAAUUGAGAGAACAGAAGGAAGGAUGUUAAAUGAAAGCCGUCAAGUAACAGCAGGAAGCAAUGCAUCAGUGACCCAAUUGCAAGUUCAGGAGCAGGUGCAUAUACAAGAAUUGUCAAAUGGAAAUAUUGGUACAAGGACUUCAGAAAAUCCCAUUAUAGAAGACUACCACCAAAGAGAAAAUGAGGUACAGUCAUAGUUUUUGUUCCUUCACUUAGAAGUCCAUACACAUUAAAGGAGUCUUGUUACACAAUGUGUUUCUAAUUUGUGUUCAUUUACUGGAAAAAGUAAUGAUUCAAUUUUUUAGGUUAUGCAACAACAUGGGGCAGCAGUGUGGAGUAGUGGUUAGGGCUCUGGACUCUUGACCGGAGGGUCGUUGGUUCAAUCCCCAGUGGUGGACACUGCUGCUGUACCCUUGAGCAAGGUACUUUACCUAGAUUGUUCCAGUAAAAACCCAACUGUAUAAAUGGGUAAUUGUAUGUAAAAAUAAUGUGAUAUCUGUAUAAUGUGUAAUGUGAUAUCUUAUAACAAUUGUAAGUCGCCCUGGAUAAGGGCGUCUGCUAAGAAAUAAAUAAUAAUAAUAAUAAUAAUAACAUGCUACCAAUGCAAUGGCUGAUCUUCUAGAAAAUGAAACAUCAGAAAACAUCCCACAAAGGGCAGCUGAGGUAGGAUAACUAUAUUGCUUAUAUUGCUUAAUUGGUCUAUUAUGCUUAUUUAUGUAAUAUAUUAGUGUUUGCAAAGCCCUUGUCUGGUCAGUUUGCUGGGCUUUAAAUGCAGUUAUUGUUUUAAACCAGAUCAGCAGUGAUGUAUUGCCCCAAAACAUGAUCUGAUUUUUAUAUGUUCACCAGGUCUUUAUUUGCAGUGGUUUCAUGACACCUACUAUAUGUAACACAGAAACCUUGUGU